rnacentral:rRNA from 1 species
UACAGAGGUCUCAAGCGUUGUUCGGAUUCAUUGGGCGUAAAGGGCGCGUAGGCGGUGCGGUAAGUCACCUGUGAAACCUCUGGGCUUAACUCAGAGCCUGCAGGCGAAACUGCCGUGCUUGAGUGUGGGAGAGGUGCGUGGAAUUCCCGGUUGUAGCGGUGAAAUGCGUAGAUAUCGGGAGGAACACCUGUGGCGAAAGCGGCGCACUGGACCACAACUGACGCUGAGGCGCGAAAGCUAGGGGAGCAAACAGG